rnacentral:lncRNA from 1 species
GUUAUACCCAAUAUAAUCUGUGUAAAAUAUCAUGGCCGACUGUAAUCAAAUAUAGUCUGCUUCGCAGUACGGUGUGUCACUGCAUGCAAACUAGGGUGAAUUAGGUGGAUAUCAUGGACAAGGCUGGUUUGUCUGUAAAGAAUCCUUGUGGCUUCUAUGAGACAGAAUGGGCUGUUCCACGAGUUCCCACACUACAGCACAGGACACCACCAGAAAACCUCGCGCAAACCCUGAGGAAAGCAAUGGAGCCAGCACUACAGGGACAGCCAAUGAGAACGCCAGUGUUGAGACCUUCCCAGACCAGGCUGCUGCUGACACCCAAGCCCCGUCUCCAGCAGCAGAGGGCCCAGCUCAGAAUGAUACUGUACCUCCUGACCCGGCUCCUGGUUCCCCUGAGCAGCCAGCCAGCCCCCCUGAUCCUUCCCCUCCAGCCGAAGAGCCAGCGACUGAGGUUACAGCAGAGACGAAGACUGAAUAGCAGCGAGGGCCAUUCAACAGGUUUUCCGUAUCGGCUGAUAAACAUGGUUUUGGAUGAAGAAUCUGCAUGA